CGUACCUACAUAAACCAAAUCUCGCUUCAUAAGAAAAGAAACCGAGUCGGAUCUUAUUUCUCUCUGAUUUGGUCUCAGUUCUCCAUUGGAGCUUCAAUUUACUGGUAAAUCUUAACAUCUUCGUAUUUUGUAAACCAUAGAUAUAUGAUUCAGUCUUUAAAUCUACAAAUCCCUUGUCUCAGAUUUCCGACGACUUACUAAAACUCUGGAACACCAGUUAAUUUCUUGAUCCGUACCAGUUCCUCGGAAAUGGUUUAGAUUGGACCGUGAUGGGUCUCACAAGCUUGGCAGGGGCGGAUAUGGUUUUGUUUUUAGGGAUUCUGGCUAUAAUCCACUACGGUGGAUAUGGAAGAUCGUCUAUAUAUCCUUGUCAAUAGUUUUUAUCACGAAUUGGAAGCUAUAUACCAAGGAUUGAAGGCUGUGACUGAUAGAGAGGCUAUGAUUGUUAGAAGAUCAUGAACCGAUAAGAUUUUCAUUUACAGGGACAAUAGAAGAGCAAUACAAUUGAUCCACAACUCCAGAAUCAAAUAUGGGAGCUUCUCCGUACACUGGUUUGUAAUAUCAACUUCCUUCUAGCUACAAACCAAGAUGGUCCCCGAAAGUUUUUUUUUUUUUUUUUUUUUUUUUAAUAAAAGGUUAAAAUCAAUAUAACGUGGUGGUGGUCUCAUCAAGUAGGGUUUGUAUUGACUGCAAAGCAACCAAGAUACCAUCAUGGAGAACUGGCUGUUCAGGUUCUAAGACCCUUUGCAAUGCAUGUGGAAACAGACACAGGAUGAAAAAGAAAACACAGGUCAAGUUACUUAAAAUGAAAUACAAAGAACUUCACCAAGAACAGAAGCUGCAUGCCUGUUGAUGGCAUUGUCUUGUUCUGCUUAUGCUCUUCUAAUUUCAUGUGGCAGAGGAAGCAAGCAGUCUAAGAAUUAGUAUCAGAAGUCAAAGUCAGCUUAUACUCUCACAUCUUUACUGUUUCAGGGCACGUCUCAAAGAAUACUCAACCUUAAUUAAAUCACACUAAUUACUCUUAA